UAUGACGACAUUGUGCCUUGAUUGCCAGAG
rnacentral:piRNA from 1 species